CCUACGGGUGGCAGCAGUGGGGAAUAUUGCACAAUGGGGGAAACCCUGAUGCAGCGACGCCGCGUGAGUGAAGAAGUAUUUCGGUACGUAAAGCUCUAUCAGCAGGGAAGAAAAAAAGUCCUUUUGACUUUGGACGGUACCUGACCAAGAAGCCCCGGCUAACUACGUGCCAGCAGCCGCGGUAAUACGUAGGGGGCAAGCGUUAUCCGGAUUUCAUGGGUGUAAAGGGAGCGUAGACGGCAGCGCAAGUCUGGAGUGAAAUGCCGGGGCCCAACCCCGGAACUGCUUUGGAAACUGUGCAGCUGGAGUGCAGGAGAGGUAAGCGGAAUUACUAGUGUAGCGGUGAAAGGCGUAGAUAUUAGGAGGAACACCAGGGGUGAAGGCGGCUUACUGGACUGUAACUGACGUUGAGGCUCGAAAGCGUGGGGAGCAAACAGGAUUAGAUACCCCUGUAGUC
rnacentral:rRNA from 1 species